UCUCUUUUUCAAUCAGGUUGUUUCAGGUAAUCUUUUGCCGCAUAGUCUGCCCUAGCUGACGCUGUGCAGAGAAUACUACGAUUGGAAACGGUUGGUUAGACCCGUUCGCACUGCACAAGGUGAUUUGGCGUUUAGAAUGUCUGGUAGGCUCUUACAUUCUUUGGAGAGGUCCCAAAUGGCACCCUGUAGUGUACUACUUUUGACCUAUCCCCAGUGGGCUCAGAUCAAAAUAAGUGCACUAUAUAGGGAAUGGCGUGCCAUUUGUCUGUGUGUGUGUGUGUGUGUUAGGAUAUGUUUUGUGCCAAUCAGUUGAUGAAAAUGUAUCCCUCAGAAAGCAAGAUGGACCGUAGUGAUGAGAGAAUCAAAAGAGCUUUAAGGCGCCGCCCUUAUGUGGUAAAUACCAAUUUAUUUAGUUUGUGUUCUGUCUUUGUCAUCACAUUUUAAAUGGAGUGUUGUGUUGACAGUUGAAUCCAGUGAGGGUGAACACCCCUGAUUCUGUGAUGUGGCCAACCGGUAAGGUACACAGAAGACCAAGGCCUUCUACUUCAGCGCAGACCCCUCAGAUCCACAAAAGGCCUCCAAUCAUUGAGAGCUGUGGGCAGGAACAGACAUCUGGGGAUGGACGGGACAUCAAUCCAGAGCCUCUCAGCCAGUCUGGAAGGGUGACUCGGCUGAUGGAGAGAAAUUAUGAUGGGGUCAUCUCAUCCUCCAACUCUGAUGACAUCUCUAUCUACUCCUUCACUGACUGUGAAUCUGAGUCUGAUGAUGAGGAUCAUGAAAGGAGGACACCACCGCUGAUAGUGAAGGAUGAGGAGGAUGGAAAGGUGACAAAGUUUGAAGUGAGGGAUAUGGUAG
rnacentral:lncRNA from 1 species